AUUGAACGCUGGCGGCAGGCCUAACACAUGCAAGUCGAGCGAGAGGCGGACGGGUGAGUAAUGUAUGGGGACUGCCCGAUAGAGGGGGAUAACUACUGGAAACGGUAGCUAAAACCGCAUACUAUCGGAUAACCCAUAUGGGAUUAGCGAGUAGGUGAGGGAAUGGCUCACCUAGGCGACGAUCCCUAGCGGGUCUGAGAGGAUGAUCAGCCACACUGGAACUGAGACACGGCCCAGACUCCUACGGAGGCAGCAGUGGGGAAUAUUGCACAAUGGGCGCAAGCCUGAUGCAGCCAUGCCGCGUGUAUGAAGAAGGCCCUCGGGUUGUAAAGUACUUUCAGUCGGGAGGCGUUACCGGCAGAAGAAGCACCGGCUAACUCCGUGCCAGCCGCCGCGGUAAUUC
rnacentral:rRNA from 1 species